AGCAGUGCCUGUGCGGGGCAUGAGCACCUUCCGCCUCCUGGUGCUGCAGCUGUGGUGAAGCCUACAAUGAAGAUGAUGUUCUCCAGAUGAUCCGGGAAGACUUCAGGACAUGGCUGGAAGCCCUAGGGGUCUCCAGUUCACAGGUUUUUCUUCUCUCCAACUGGGAUCUGGGAUUUCCACCAACUGAAGAGCACACUAGAACAGGAUCUUCCCUUUCUGCAGAGGCUGGUGUUUCUGCUGACCCUGCCCAGCUUCUCCAAGGAAAUCCUGGAGAAGAAAAGAUCCACACUGAAGAAGCUGGCCUGGCUGAUGGCCCUGGCCUCAGUUGGCACCAGUGCUUUUCCUAUCCCCAGCAUCUCUGCAAUGCAAUAUUCGGUUUCUGCUGGUCUCCACAAUUGGCUUCUACCAGCACUUGGGCCUGGAUGACGAAUCUCUUGAUGAAUAUCUGAGCUGCGUGACCAGUCAGGCCAACUUACCCAUGGCCGAGCUGAGCAGGGUGGUCACAGAUUCAAAACAUACAGCUACCCACUGUGCAGCUAACCUGCACCCAAAUAGCAGGCCACAUACUUGGAGGGAUGAAAGGACAUCUCAUCAGUGAGAACAUGGCAGGGCUGGGAGGCUGGAUGCCUGGGUUCCCUCCAGCUCUGGGACAGGGGUGGGGCCUGAGGGUCAUGUGAAACUGGGAUAGACUGGGGAGCAAAUCUUCUCCCUGGUCUUCUCUUCUCCAAAAUAAACCAUUCCAGUUCUUCCAGCCUGUCCUCCUCCAUCAUGGGAGGAAACAUGGUAGGUGUUGAGUUACUUCUUCCCUCUGCAUCAGUGCCUCCUAAAAAUUCCCUGGCUGACUUCUCUUUUUGGCCCUUCCCAGACAGGGGGCAGCAAGCCUGCCCAGCCCUGGAUCCUACAAGCACUUGGGCCUGCAUGGUGACUCCCUGAGGGUAGUGAUGAUAUCAUUACAAAUCCAGCAUGUCUUACCCAGCCCUGGCUUCUGGCCAGUGGACCUCAUGUCCUAUCUCUGGGAGAGGGGCAGCCUGUUGUGUUUGGUUGGCCUGCUCAGGUUGGCCUGUUGCUUUCGGUUUCAGGUCCUGGGACUGUGUGAAGCCUAAGACUGACUUUUGCCCCCUGGCAUCACCUCCAGAUGCUGCAGCCAUGGGGAACCACCAGUAUCAAGCCACAGCAAGUAAUAGCCAUGGGGAAACUGAGGCUGGACAUAAGAAAUGGAGGCAAUCUCUGAAAGUUUUUCAGAAAACCAUGAAUUCCUUUCAAGGUUUAACCUCAUAGCAGCAGCUGGCCACUGCUUUUGACAUCUACAAGUCAUUUGAGUCAUUCUUCCACUCCCAGGAUUACCAAAAAACAGCCAGUCAAGUGCAGGAGGAGCUGGAGUCAUUGGAAACCUUCCCACUGUGGAUUGCUGUAAUGGGUCAAAUGGGCUCUGGGAAAUCCUCCUUCAUCAAUGCCAUCCACGGGGUGAGACACGGAGAGAAAAGUGCUGCUGAAAUUGGGGCAAAUGAAACAACAAUGGAUUCCACCUCUUACAACUGUCCCUGCUACCCCAACAUCACAUUCUAUGACCUGCUGGGCAUCAGAUCCAUGCAUUUCCAGCCAAAGACCAACCUGAAGUUCGUCAACUCCAAUAGCUACUACUUCAUCAUCAUGGGCUCUGAGCAUUUCUGAUCCAAUGGUGCUGACCUAGCCCAGGAGGUCCAGAGGAUGGAGAAGAAGUUCUAUUUUGUGAGAGCCAAAGAGGACCACAACUUAGAAAAUGAAAAAAAGAGCCCAUGGUGAAGCCCACAAUGAAGACAACAUUCUCCAGAUGAUCCAGGACAAGUGCAGGAGAGAGCUGAAAGACUUAGGGGUCUCAGUCCAAAAGUUUUUCUUCUCUCCAAUUGAGAUAUAGCAAAGUUUGAUUUUCCACCUCCUGGAAGACACCCUAGAACAGGAUCAUCUCCAUUUGCAUAGGCUGGUGUUUCUGCUGAGCCUGACCAUCUUUUCCAAGGAAAUCCUGGAGAAGAAGCUAAUUGCACUGAAGAAGUUGACUUGGCUCACAGCCCUGACCUCAUCUAGCACCAGUGCCAUUCCUGUCCCUGGUGUAUCUCUGCAAUGCAAUAUCCAGUUCCUGCAGAUCUCCACAAUUGACUUCUACACUUGGGCCUGGAUGAUGAGUCCUUGAGAUGCAUGACCAGGCAGGCUGACCUGCCCAUGGCCGAGUUGAAGCGGGUGAUGAGAUUACUGCAAAUCCAAAACAUACAGCUUCCCAUUGUACAGGUACCCUGGGCCUGGGCAGCAGGUCAUAUACACAAAGAGAUUGGGAGGCAUCUGAUUAGUGUACUAGGAAAUGCAGCAUGUUCCUAUAUCUUCUCUGUCUACUGGCUCACCAUAGUUCUGGAUGAGCCCAUGGUUCUGCUGAUGCCCUCCAGGGGCAGGCCAAUGCUUUGGGAGAAGAGCAUCAUUAAAGGGAUUAGAGGAACUGCCUCCAAGAAUUGUGGCCCCAUGGACCACUCACAUCCUUCCAUUUCAGAAAGUUGAUGCCAGAGAUGAGUGGGUCCUUCCUCAUCUUCAUCUUCUUCCUGGCUCCCAGGUAGAGGAACAGAGGGUGAAUGGGGGCAUCUUUAGCAAGCCCCCUUGCUUUCAACUCAUUGUGAAUUUAUUUCAGCCCUUUCAUGGGCUUCAUUACCUGGUGGUUUCUCUUGUAACAACCCAUCCUGGGGUCAGUCCAAUCAGAGGCAUCUUCUACCAGACAGAGGAACCUUUGGAGAAACCUCUUUGGAGGCCUUGUUUCCUUUUUUCUUGAGAUGGGUUUUGGGAUCCACCAAGUCUCAUCAUGUGUUAAUGGAAUAAAACUAACCAAUCUUGGA